rnacentral:rRNA from 1 species
AUUGAACGCUGGCGGCAGGCCUAACACAUGCAAGUCGAACGGUAGCACAGAGGAGCUUGCUCCUUGGGUGACGAGUGGCGGACGGGUGAGUAAUGUCUGGGAAACUGCCUGAUGGAGGGGGAUAACUACUGGAAACGGUAGCUAAUACCGCAUAAUGUCGCAAGACCAAAGAGGGGGACCUUCGGGCCUCUUGCCAUCAGAUGUGCCCAGAUGGGAUUAGCUAGUAGGUGGGGUAAUGGCUCACCUAGGCGACGAUCCCUAGCUGGUCUGAGAGGAUGACCAGCCACACUGGAACUGAGACACGGUCCAGACUCCUACGGGAGGCAGCAGUGGGGAAUAUUGCACAAUGGGCGCAAGCCUGAUGCAGCCAUGCCGCGUGUAUGAAGAAGGCCUUCGGGUUGUAAAGUACUUUCAGCGGGGAGGAAGGCGAUACGGUUAAUAACCGUGUCGAUUGACGUUACCCGCAGAAGAAGCACCGGCUAACUCCGUGCCAGCCGCCGCCGUAA